rnacentral:rRNA from 1 species
UACGGAGGGUGCGAGCGUUAUCCGGAAUCACUGGGCGUAAAGGGCGCGUAGGCGGUCUGUUAAGUCUGGCGUUAAAGCCUGGGGCUCAACCCCAGAUCAGCGUUGGAUACUGGCAGGCUAGACGGUUGGAGAGGCGAGUGGAAUUACCAGUGUAGCGGUGGAAUGCGUAGAUACUGGUAGGAACACCCAUUGCGAAGGCAGCUCGCUGGACAACACGUGACGCUGAGGCGCGAAAGUGUGGGGAGCAAACCGGAUUAGAUACCCCGGUA